AUGAGAAGUCCACAGCGACCACAGAGACGCGAUGAAGACGAAGACGACGACCUGCAAGAUUGAAGACGACUCCACGGCGACGAUAUAUUUUGCAAGACCUCAGACGACCACGACCACGGCGGCGGUAUUCAUAUGAAAUCGCUGCCUGCAGAUGUAUAGCAGCAACGGCCAUUAUAUUAUAAUAUUGUGUACACGCGUAAUGCGUGUGCGACGAGACCCGCGGGAUUUACCUACGUCUGGAGAAUUCGAAUCAACGGAUUAUGCCCUCGAUGUACACACACGAACAAACGUCGCGUACUGCAUAAAAUAUUAUUUCAACACAAUAUAACUGCGUAAUGGUGCAGRGAUACUGCAUCGCGGGAGUGAAGAGGAAAUGAAAAACAAUAAUAAAGAUGUGUGUCGGACCGCUGCAGAUACGAUGAUGACAUACUGCAAGCUGCAGCUUCGUCCGUCCGCCUGUCUGCCUCGUCCGUUCUCAUCCGACGCAGAGCUGCAAAUGUCUACUCGACGAAUAAUGCGUGGCACCCUGUACGUAUA